rnacentral:rRNA from 1 species
ACACUGCGCCGAAAAUGUACCGGGGCUAAACAUAUUACCGAAGCUGUGGAUUGUCCGUAGGACAAUGGUAGGAGAGCGUUCUAAGGGCGUUGAAGCAUGAUCGCAAGGACAUGUGGAGCGCUUAGAAGUGAGAAUGCCGGUGUGAGUAGCGAAAGACGGGUGAGAAUCCCGUCCACCGAUUGACUAAGGUUUCCAGAGGAAGGCUCGUCCGCUCUGGGUUAGUCGGGUCCUAAGCUGAGGCCGACAGGCGUAGGCGAUGGAUAACAGGUUGAUAUUCCUGUACCACCUAGCAUCGUUUUAAUCGAUGGGGGGACGCAGUAGGAUAGGCGAAGCGUACGAUUGGAUUGUACGUCUAAGCAGUGAGAUUGAGUGUUAGGCAAAUCCGGCACUCUUAAGAUUGAGCUGUGAUGGGGAGAGGAAAUUGUUUCCUCGAGUCGUUGAUUUCACACUGCCGAGAAAAGCCUCUAGAUAGAUAAUAGGUGCCCGUACCGCAAACCGACACAGGUAGUCAAGAUGAGAAUUCUAAGGUGAGCGAGCGAACUCUCGUUAAGGAACUCGGCAAAAUGACCCCGUAACUUCGGGAGAAGGGGUGCUCUUUAGGGUGCAAGCCCAGAAGAGCCGCAGUGAAUAGGCCCAAGCGACUGUUUAUCAAAAACACAGGUCUCUGCUAAACCGUAAGGUGAUGUAUAGGGGCUGACGCCUGCCCGGUGCUGGAAGGUUAAGAGGAGUAGUUAGCUUCUGCGAAGCUACGAAUCGAAGCCCCAGUAAACGGCGGCCGUAACUAUAACGGUCCUAAGGUAGCGAAAU